AGAAAAAAGUAAAUGUUACGUUGAUGAAGAAACUUUUUGAAGCCUAAAACACAAAAAAGAACCUGCGAACCUAUGCUUAAAACAAAUUUAAACCCAAAUUAUCUACAGGACAACUCCAUACCAAUUCAGCAAAAUCUAGGGGCUUGGUUGAAAAUGAUGCAAAAUGGAAAAUACAGUUUCUCAUUCAAAUUUUAAAGCCCACAACCAUUUUAGGUAGCCCAGCCAACUUUCCCAACUUCAAGCCCAAGAGAAACUCUCCAAUAAAGUACUAAAAACAUAUUAGGACUUUGACUUCAUCAUCUCAUUUUAUAGCCAGAUAAAAUAUGAACACAAGUGAAAUAUACCUCAUCCUUUUCACCAGCCAAGG
rnacentral:misc_RNA from 1 species